AUGCAGCAACGCCGCGUGAGGGAUGACGGCCUUCGGGUUGUAAACCUCUUUUAGCAGGGAAGAAGCGAAAGUGACGGUACCUGCAGAAAAAGCGCCGGCUAACUACGUGCCAGCAGCCGCGGUAAUACGUAGGGCGCAAGCGUUAUCCGGAAUUAUUGGGCGUAAAGAGCUCGUAGGCGGUUUGUCGCGUCUGCUGUGAAAUCCCGAGGCUCAACCUCGGGUCUGCAGUGGGUACGGGCAGACUAGAGUGCGGUAGGGGAGAUUGGAAUUCCUGGUGUAGCGGUGGAAUGCGCAGAUAUCAGGAGGAACACCGAUGGCGAAGGCAGAUCUCUGGGCCGUUACUGACGCUGAGGAGCGAAAGGGUGGGGAGCAAACAGGAAUAGAUACCCUGG
rnacentral:rRNA from 1 species